GGGGGCUGCUGUGUUUAUCCAAGUGCUCCAGCGGCUGCGGGAGUUUUCUGCUUGUGUUUAUAUUUUCAGAAGGGGGCUGAAGAGCUAUGCCCAGACUGGAGCACGAGUCUGCUUGCUGGUGUGUUUCUCAGUCCAGUUUGAUUUUUUAAAGGUACCCUCCAUGGGACAGAACUCUGCUUACAAACUUUAAAACUGGAUGAUGCAAAAAUUACCUGCACAGCAGAGGAGGACAACGAACCAUAGAUGGGCUGAGUGUUCAUAUUGCCUCACCUUUCAUCAAAGCACCAUCUGGGAACCAGAACUUGGCAUUUGAGAAAAAUCAGAGAUGACUAAGAAUAAGAACAAUCUCAUCAGGAGAAGAGCCGUUGAUCUCCUGUUCCUCUUCUAGAAGUUGGUACCAGUUGAAACUAAAGGAGGGUGUGCAUGAACUAUGGCAGAUCCAGAAUAUUCUGUUUCAUUUUCAGUUGACCUGAUGCAUACAUACGGCCCUGUUCCCAGUGGGCAGGCAAGCCUGGAUCUUUCUCCACAUGGUGCCAGUCAAUGGUUCAAUCCAAAAGUAUUAAUGUCAGCCAAGUCAUAUCAAAGUUCCUGCCUUAUCUAGAUGAGACUUCCACCACAGAUCUUACAGAUGAUCUUAUACAACAUAUAUGUCCAUUUCAAAUUGAGAAAACUGAGGCUGGGAGGGUAACUAACUGGUCUGAGGGCCUCUAACAAGUCUGUGGUCAAUUAGCAAGAGCUCUCUGUCAGCUCACCUCUGUGCAGUGUGCCAAGGCCACACUCAGACCCACACUGACAUUGUACAAAAACUAAAAUGAACGAUUCCCAGAGUUCUCCAACUAAACUUUCUGUUUUAGAUGAAGGACAAUAAUACAGACAAAAUGAAAAUUAC
rnacentral:lncRNA from 10 species